rnacentral:lncRNA from 1 species
GUUUAUUUUGCUUUCAUUUUUUUGUAAUAAUUUCCCUGGAUAUGAGAUUCUCCCUGGACAUUUGUUUUCUCUCUUUCAGCACUUAGUACAUGCUGUUCUCCUGGCUUGCUGGCAUCCAUUGCUUCUGAUGAGAAUUCAGCUCUUCUAUUUACUGAGGUUUCUUGUACCUCAUUUAAGACUGGAGAAAAUGAAGUACAGUUCAACUGAUGGAGCCCUGGAGUCUGAGACAGAUCUGCUUGGUAUUCUCCAGCAACUCAAAUGUCUCAGAGGAUACAGAUAUCAUUCUCUAUGGAAUGAAGAAGUUGGAGUUGAUCUUCAUGCUCAUGUCCUGCUCUGAGAUCCUUAGAUCUCAGGUGUGUGCAUGUGUGUCUGUAUGUGUGUAGUUUUUAGCUUCAUUUUAAGGUGUAUUUUUGGAGGUCUUUAUUUAAAACUUCAUUUAUAUGGCAAUCUCAGCUAUGAUAUGAAUCUUACUGUAAAAUAGAAAUUCUCACUGAAAGAGGAAAUGAAACAACCUCUGAAAAUAACUGAAAUACAUGAGAAGUAUUUUUAUAAAGCUGCACAUAGGUGAAAGGCCUUGCCUUGAUUCUCUGAGAUUUCAAACUCCCUAAGUUAUUGCCUGGAAAAAAAGGCUAAGUCUCUCACAGAACUUAACUUCUAUAAGACUGUACAGGUAAAAGCUGAUCUAAUCUUCCAGAAUCAGUUACAAUUCAUAAUCACUAAAUCCCAAAUAAAUGAGUAGCUAAAAAGAUUUCACAUUUUCUGUGAAACUUACAUUUUGUGUGAGUUAAUGUGUUUUAACAUUAUAUAACUUUUAUAUUUUAUAAUUUCACUUCUAUACUUUUCAAGUCAUAGACAUAUUUAAAACACACACACACACACACACACACACACACGAUCCUGGUAUUCUCGCUUUCCUCUUGUAACUAGGAUUCAACCUGAACUCCUGAGUAGGUGAGGGGGAAGGGUUACGUAGUAUCAUAGCAUGGAGGAUGGCAUGUUUCUGGCCAGCAGUUGUCAUCAUUCUUCAGAAGGCACCUGCUGAUGUGAGCAGUCCUAUCUGGUCCUCUCUCUCCUUCAUCUAUUCAUGCUGACAUCACCUGAAAUAUCUGUGUUCCCAUCUGUUUUCUGGUCUCUGGAUGCAUGUUGACAUCCACAGUGUGAUCUCUUUUUCCUGGUCUAUUGGAUACUGAAGGCCAAAUACUCCCCCUCUCAGCUAAUUUUUGCUCCCUCCCCAAAGAUACGGAAAAGCCAGCCUUAGUCUUUAACUUUCUAGGAAUGAAGGAUAGUGAACAUAGCCACCUCUUGGCUUCCACAUUACCCCUGGUCUGCUUUGAUUUUAAGGAGACCUUUGUAAGGAGGUGGCAAUGUGGCAUGUUGCUUUCUGGGAUUCUGUUCCCCUUCUCUGUACUUUGGAGCUGACUACGGGGUAGGAGCAGGAAGGGAAAGAGAGCAGGAUGCUUCCAUAGCCUCCCCUCGUAGUUCUCCCAUCUGACUGUCUCCAGUCUCUUUUUUUUUUUUUUUUUUCCUAGGAUCUAGGUUUUAUGCCUUCUUGGGCAUGAGAAGAAUAUCUGACUCAAGAAAUAUUCCAAUUCUUUUGUAUGAGGCAGAAUGUUUACUUCAGGAACUCAAAAGUUAAUAAGUAGACUCUUUUGCUCUUAGAGUAUAGAUUUCACUGAGACAAUAGAUACAUUAAGAAAGGGGUAUAGAAAAACCUAUGGUUACUAUGUCUCAUUGGUAUCCCAAGUGUAUUGUAACUAUACAAAUUUUCUACUGAUUCUUAGGCAAAAUUCACUGGGACUGGUUGGAAGGAAAGGCGUAGUUGUAAAAAUUCCUUUACUCCUGUGAACUAGUGUAGGAAAAGCCCCCCUAAAAGAGAAGCAAAAUGUUGACUAGCACACUUAAAGUAGAUGAAUUGUAAAAGCUGUCAGAGAAGGACAGAGCUUGAGAGAGCAAGACAGGAAAAAGAGAAGGAGAACAAGAUAAAAAAAGAAGGAAAGAGACGAAGGGAGAGAGAGAGAACAUUACUGACUUAAUUAAUGUGAAGGGUAAGGUCAUGGAAUCUCCCAAUUUGAAAUUACCAAGCAAAAGGAAGUAAAUAAUCUCAUAUAUUUUGAGAAGGAAACAUGUAUUGAUUAUUAUUUAUAAAUAUAAACAGCAAAUAUAAAAAUAAUAUUUAAUAAUUCAUUAAUGCUAAAUAUAUUUAAAUAAAGGACAUGUUUAAAAAGUAAUUGCUAAUAUUAAAUAUUUAAUUAUUUAAGAAAUUAAAUCAUAAAUUCUCAAUAAGAAGACAAAGUAUGAUUUGCCAAGACUUCAUUAAACAUAUGAAUCACAUCUUUUGAUUUUUACAACCCUUUGAAAUAAGUGGCAUUUGCAUUUUACAGAUAAAGAACAAUGAAUACAUGCAAAAGUACAAAUUCAGAAAGUACAAUGGCUUAAUCCAGAUUAUAUAAGUAGUAAGAUAUUGAUAAAGAUAGGGUUUCACAGCCAGUCUGUCUGACCCCAAAACCAACGUUCUUUUUAGACCACUUCAGGUGCUGACAGCAGGCUUGGAAGAGAAACCUGACCUACAAAUUAUAACCUUGAAAAAGCACUACUUUUCUUUUUGCGAGAAGAUUACAAUUUUUAGCAUGAACUCUAUUUUGCUGUUGUGCUCUUAAGUUUAUUUAAAAUUUUUGCUGCUAUGUUGAGAUAGGAGAGUUCCUUGGCCCCCAAGGAACAGGAUGUGCAGCAGGGAUAUGGCUCUCUAUUCAGCUGCGAUGAGUUCAAACCCCUUAAGGGAGAGGGUGCAAGCAGACAAACGGGUGCAGAAACCAGGGCAAGGGGUUUUUGGCUGUGGCCCCAUGGGAGCAUCUAGGGAUGGGUGUCUGUGAAUUUCCAAGCCCAAGUGAAUGCAUGUUAUAGUUCACUCUUUUAGCCUUGCUGUCCACAGAUAGCUUAAGUAUUAGACAACUCAGUGGACCCUCUUGGCACCCAGGUCCUUGUCCGGCAUCCAGGAAAAAUCAGGUGGUACAUGGACUUGAAGGAUAAAUGAGGGUUGUUUCAUUGAGUAGUGGAGGUGUCUCUCAGUUGAACAGAUGGGGAGCUGGAAGGGGGAUUGAGGAGAAAGAUGAUUGUACCCUGGAGUUUGGCCAUCCAGCAGCCAAUUCCUCUGAUUGUCCCUAGCCACAUUCCUCUCAGUGUUCAGAUACUCCUC